AGCGAACGCUGGUGGCAGGCCUAACACAUGCAAGUCGAACGAACCCUUCGGGGUUAGUGGCGGACGGGUGAGUAACACGUGGGAACGUGCCUUUAGGUUCGGAAUAACUCAGGGAAACUUGUGCUAAUACCGAAUGUGCCCUUCGGGGGAAAGAUUUAUCGCCUUUAGAGCGGCCCGCGUCUGAUUAGCUAGUUGGUGAGGUAAUGGCUCACCAAGGCUACGAUCAGUAGCUGGUCUGAGAGGAUGACCAGCCACAUUGGGACUGAGACACGGACCAAACUCCUACGGGAGGCAGCAGUGGGGAAUCUUGCGCAAUCGGCGAAAGCCUGACGCAGCCAUGCCGCGUGGAUGAUGAAGGUCUUAGGAUUGUAAAAUCCUUUCACCGGUGAAGAUAAUGACUGUAGCCGGAGAAGAAGCCCCGGCUAACUUCGUGGCAGCCGCCGCCGUAACAC
rnacentral:rRNA from 1 species